UACGAAGGGGGCUAGCGUUGCUCGGAAUCACUGGGCGUAAAGGGCGCGUAGGCGGCCAUUCAAGUCGGGGGUGAAAGCCUGUGGCUCAACCACAGAAUUGCCUUCGAUACUGUUUGGCUUGAGUAUGGCAGAGGUUGGUGGAACUGCGAGUGUAGAGGUGAAAUUCGUAGAUAUUCGCAAGAACACCAGCGGCGAAGGCGGCGCUCUGGGCCGGAACUGACGCUGAGGAGCGAAAGCGUGGGUAGCAAACAGG
rnacentral:rRNA from 1 species